rnacentral:rRNA from 1 species
CAUGUCUUUAUGAUUAUAAUUUUAAGUCUGGUCUGCUCAAUGAUUAAUUAAAUUGCCGCAGUAUUAUGACUGUGCGAAGGUAGCAUAAUAAUUAGUUUCUUGAUUAGGAACUUGUAUGAAUGAUUGGACAAGAAAAUUUCUGUCUCUUUUUAAUUAUUUAAGGAACUUUAUUUUUAAGUUAAAAAGCUUAAAUAUAUAUAAAAGACGAGAAGACCCUAUAGAGUUUAAUAAUAUUAUAAAUCUAAAUUUAGAAAAUUCUAUUUAAAAAUAUUAUUUAGUUGGGGUGACUAAAAGAUUUAAAAAAUUCUUUUAAUUUUUUAUUAUUGAUAAAUAAAUAUUAAAUCUGGUAUUUCAAAUUUAAAAUUAAUUACCUUAGGGAUAACAGCGUAAUUUUUCUUUAAAGCUCAAAUUAAGGGAAAAUUUUGCGACCUCGAUGUUGGAUUAAAAUUAAUUUUUGGUGCAGUAACUUAAAAAUUAGGUCUGUUCGACCUUUAAAAUUUUACAUGAUCUGAGUUUAGACCGGUGUGAGCCAGGUCGGAUUCUAUCUUUAGAUUAAUUACAUAUUUUAGUACGAAAGGACCAAAUAUUUGUUAUAAUAAUUG